GCCCAGGUGGUGAAAUUGGUAGACACACUAGCUUGAGGGGCUAGCGCCCGUUUAGGGUGUGCAGGUUCAAAUCCUGUCCUGGGCA
rnacentral:tRNA from 1 species